rnacentral:rRNA from 1 species
GUGGCGAACGGGUGAGUAAUACGUGAGUAACCUGCCCUUGACUCUGGGAUAAGCCUGGGAAACUGGGUCUAAUACUGGAUAUGACCUCCUGUCGCAUGGUGGGGGGUGGAAAGGGUUUGUACUGGUUGUGGAUGGGCUCACGGCCUAUCAGCUUGUUGGUGGGGUAAUGGCCUACCAAGGCGACGACGGGUAGCCGGCCUGAGAGGGUGACCGGCCACACUGGGACUGAGACACGGCCCAGACUCCUACGGGAGGCAGCAGUGGGGAAUAUUGCACAAUGGGCGCAAGCCUGAUGCAGCGACGCCGCGUGAGGGAUGACGGCCUUCGGGUUGUAAACCUCUUUCAGCACGGAAGAAGCGAAAGUGACGGUACGUGCAGAAGAAGCGCCGGCUAACUACGUGCCAGCAGCCGCGGUAAUACGUAGGGCGCAAGCGUUGUCCGGAAUUAUUGGGCGUAAAGAGCUCGUAGGCGGUUUGUCGCGUCUGCUGUGAAAGCCCGGGGCUUAACCCCGGGUGUGCAGUGGGUACGGGCAGACUUGAGUGCAGUAGGGGAGACUGGAACUCCUGGUGUAGCGGUGAAAUGCGCAGAUAUCAGGAAGAACACCGAUGGCGAAGGCAGGUCUCUGGGCUGUUACUGACGCUGAGGAGCGAAAGCAUGGGGAGCGAACAGGAUUAGAUACCCUGGUAGUCCAUGCCGUAAACGUUGGGCACUAGGUGUGGGGGACAUUCCACGUUUUCCGCGCCGUAGCUAACGCAUUAAGUGCCCCGCCUGGGGAGUACGGCCGCAAGGCUAAAACUCAAAGGAAUUGACGGGGGCCCGC